rnacentral:misc_RNA from 1 species
CUCCUUUAUGAUGCUUUCACAAAGUCUAUCAAAUGUGGAAAGAAAAGGCAAAAGAGAAGGAAAUUUGGCAACAAAUUCCUAAAACCAUUCUGUAACCUCCAAAACCUCGUUAUUCCUGGACCUCAAGAGUCGGACGGAACUCAGAAUCACGUGAAUCCGUUGGAGCAUAUUUCCAUUGUCAAUUCAACAAUUCGCAAUCCAUUCAAUGGACGUGGUUGAUAAUCGUUUGGUAAUCCUCCAUCUGUCAUUACCAAUUUGGUCAAUUUAAUAUUAAUAUAUCACUUCGACUUUCGGACCGUCGCUUUCUUAUCCCUUGCCAAAUUUUUCUUCAAUUAUACGCAUAUGAUGAUACCCCACAUCCAACCAUUUUCAAUACAAUAACACUUAAUCUCAAAGUUCCACUUUUUUUUUUCCUUUUAAUUAUUUUUUUUUUCCAAUUUUCAUCUUGAAGGAAAAAAGGAUAAUAGAAGAAAUAAAAAUAAAAUGGUCGCAAAGGUAAUUCCAAUAGAAUGGCCCUGACACUGAUGUUAAGAGGAAUCAAUCCAAAUAGGGAAAAAUUUGGAGCAACCAAAGACCGCAUUGACAAUUACUCCUCGCUAAGAAUGUUCCUCCUUAACUUCAAUAUUCUUUUAACUCAGAAAAAUCUCCUUCCCUGGAUCAGGCGCUUGUUUUUACUACCUAGAUUUAUAUCUCCACACCCUCCUGUGCUCUCAUUAUCCAUCCCACUUCCACAACUGUAUCUGUCUGCUUCCACAAAUUCUCACUAUUUUGCUGCUGUUUCAUUUGUUUAUUUCACUUUUGGACAUCCAGACUCACACUUGAUCAUCCAUGUUAACCACAACACUUCCCAUUAGCACAUAACUUGGUAAACUUCCGCACAUGAUGCCACCAUAGUUUAACGGAGAUCAACUAUCCUCUUAUCGCUUCUUUUUGCUCUCCAUAACCUACCCAGAAUCCAUAUUUUGAAUAAUUUUGGGGCUCCUGCAAUCCACAUGUGCCUCUACUUAAAAGAACCCUCUUUCCAAUUCUUCAGCACAUUAGUAGAUCCAAAUCAAACGGAAGGCGAACCCACUAGUAAUAAUUGGAGGUUAUAAUAACUAAUAUUGUCCAAAUUAAGCCGACCAAUAUCUACUCCACCCCCCAACCAUUACAACCCGACUCAUCUCCAACUUUAGCUAGAACUUGAUGUUAUAUUUAUCCGGUCUUAAUUUUACCAGAAGGGUUAUGAUUGUUAUGGUUUAAUGGCAAAAUCUUGCUCAUUUGCUCUCCGAUAUAGCAAAGCUGAAGCUUCCACCCACCCAGGGUAGACAACAAAUCGUCCAGUGGAUAAAGCCCAAUUCACCUUAUCCGUUCCAAGUGAAUUGGCAACUACAUGAGUGACCUGUUCGUCUAUCUGGUUUGUGCAGACAGCACCAAACUGUUCAGCUGUCUGCCAGAGCGGAUGUAGAUGGGGAUUGGCUUCACCAACAGGAAACACCCUGCUAAAUACUAUUCGGCAGCCAGCCAAAAUCUUCCUCUGCUCGGAUGCAAGGAUAUUUCGAACGUCUGCUUCAUCUAAGGACGGGUGAGUAAAAAAGUUUUGAUGUAUUCUCUCAAUAACCGCCAACGAGCAUGCCAAAGUCCCAUCUUCUGGUCUCUCGUCAUGGUCAAUCUCAAGAAGAGAAGGCCCUGGCAGACCAAAUUGGCGUCUACUACAAGGAAAAUAUAUAUACCUUUCUACAACAAUCAAGUUCAACUUGUUAUGUGGCCAGACUCUCACAGAAUCAUCUAUAAUGACAACAGCAGACUCCAUACCCAAGACCCCCUCAAGAUCCUUACUCUUGGGAACCCUCUCAUCGCUAUCAAAGGGAUCCCCAUCAUCACCCCUGGAAAUAACUCGUCCAUUAAACAAAACCCCCGUAGGAUCCAGAACUUUUGCCAUUUCUGUGGCAUACAACUUGUUCCCCAUUGUGUAAAGAUGCAGCUCAUACAGUUUACUAGCCUUUUCCAAGAAAUUCCAUAUCCCAGGACGCAAUUUUGUCCACAUUCCCAUAUGAGGGAAGCGGAAUAGAUGUCUCUGUGGUUUUUCAUGAUCUUGUUCUUCCUUCUUUCGCAAGAUCUCAUCAUGCACAGGAUCAAUUUCAACAAACUUGGCAGAAUUAAGAAGUGUAUGAUCAAGAUCCAACACAAGGCAGAGCUUGUUUGCAGCAAACAUUUUCUUUUGUUCUUCUAUCCUUCUUGCCCUCUCUCUCUGUAUAGCAGCUUUUUGCUGGUCAUUAUAUCCUUCAAAGAUAUGAUCAAAAUCUCCCCAUGUGUUCUGUGAACGAGGAGCUACUGAUGCUACACCAGGUGGUAAACCAAUUCCAGUUGGCUGCUCAGAAUUUAACACCACAGUUCGCACAUGUUGAGAUACAAGAUUCUGAGAAACAAGAGGUGGAGUUGAUGCAUUGGAAACAGACACAAUAUCAGCAAUAUUUUUCAAACUCUUCGUAAAUGGCAAAGAAAUAUCUGGCGCCACAAGAGAUUGGGUAGGCACUGGUUUCAUUUCCACUUGACCCUCUUGAUUUUGCACAUUCUGAUUUUCCUUGGUACCUUGGCUGGUUGAUGUAGAGAUUAAAUUUGUUUUGAACUGUUCAGACCCCAAGCUCCCAUUCCUUUGGAGUGUAUUAUUAUGAAGAACACGACGAGGAUCCCGUGGUUUCAUACGAAUUUUUCCCAUCUCAUCCGAAGCAGCCAAUUGAGGAACCUGAAGUGCCCCUGCUGGUCUUGGCAAAAUCCCUGUGGACUGUGGGGGAGCAACAUUAACCACAGGUAGAGCUCCCAGUAUAGAAUUUGUGUUCGGUGGAUGUGUUGUACUUUUAGCAAGAUCAACAGGCUUCUGCUGUGCCUCUAUUGCUAAUCUCUGCUGUUGUCCCAUUUUGAGUAUACUGAUCAACAUUGUUGGAUUCACUGCAAUGUUUUUCAAUAAAUCAGGCAGAGAUGUUGCACUAGCACUCAUCACUGGGACCUGUUCAGCUCCAGCUACAGCACUGGCUCCUGUAACUUGUAAUUGCUCAUUUCCACUAAUAUUCACACUAGAUAUUCCACUAACAGUACUAGGACAAGCUGCUCCAUUAUCUAUUCUCCUGGGAUCAGAUUCUGCAUUCUCUACCAACUGAUUUGCUAUUUGCAAGUACUUAGUCUUGAGGAGUUUGCUCUAGUCUUUCAAAAGGAAAGUGAUGUGGGUUCAAUCUUGAGGGAGCACCUCCGAAUCAGAAGAAAUCUUCGCAUCAUAAGCCAUAGGUUUCGAAGGUUCAUCUUGCUGUCUCUGGUUUUGGUCACUGCAAGUCAGUUAAUUUCAUUGCUGGUGACCACCCGUUCCAGUGCUCAUAACAACAUAUUCGAGGCUGGAGAACUCGCGUUGUGCUCCAUAAAUUUGGUGACGGGCCUCUUCAUAUGCUUGCGAAGCGCUACAAAAAUCACCCACAGAGCACAGUCCGUGACAAGCCUUGCUACAAAGUGGCAUGUAUGUGCCACAAUAAACUCUUAUGAUGACAUGGACGGUGAGACCCUAGGGGAUCAGACUAGUGCUUGCAGCCACCAUGUAUUUCCUGUGGACAUUUAUUGGGUUUUGGAUGAUGAUGAUGACAAUGGAGAUGAAGAUAUUGAUAAUAGCACCAAAAUGGUACCAAUUUUUGCGUAUACAAUCUCAUUCCAGAGGAGACAGGCCUUAGGUUGGUUUCUCGGUGGGAAAUGGGAACAAAGAUCUUUGAGAAUAUUUACUAAGUAUAACUAAUCAUCCAUCAAUUGUUGCAGUGACAUAUCUGGAAAACAAUAGGGCAGGCAUGACAGUUUACGAGUUCAUGAUGGACAGAACCCAUGGCUCCAUACCAUAUUUGGGAUUGAACUAGCUCUACUACUUUGGUUGCUCAACAAGACAAUAGGUAUUUUUCUUAAUCUCAAUUUUCUACAUGCGCCUUUGCUUGUGUGUGUGCAUGGUAUUUUUCAACAAUCACCAUAAAGAUGGCGUGAUUUCAUCACGAUCAGUAUGGUAAUCUAAUUGGAUUUUGAAUGUUGAAAACAAUAAAUUAAUCUUGAAAUCUCUAGCACCAAUUAUUUUUAUUCUUUUUUUAUACAAAAACUUAACUUCUUUCACUUCCUUUUUUUAACACUCAGUGAAUUGGACAUGAAAGCGGCAAGACUCCAGUGAUGCAAGGAACUAUACAUUUGGCAGUACUGCGAGUUCAUUUGGCCAAGUGUUAUCGGCUUGAGACUAUGACAUUGUGUGUAUGUAAUAAAAUGAGUUCAUUUGGUUAUCAUUUUUGUUAAUAUGCGAACCGUUAAAUCUAUAUACAGUUUGUGAAUCAUUGACAAGGUUUUGUGAAAUUAAACAAAAAGGCCA